rnacentral:rRNA from 1 species
AGUGAACGCUGGCGGUAGGCCUAACACAUGCCAGUCGAACGGCAGCACAGUAAGAGCUUGCUCUUACGGGUGGCGAGUGGCGGACGGGUGCGGAAUACAUCGGAAUCUACUUUUUAGUGGGGGAUAACGUAGGGAAACUUACGCUAAUACCGCAUAAGACCUACGGAUGAAAACAGGGAAUCUUCGCACCUCGCGCAAAUGACUGAGCCGAUGUCGGAUUGUCUAGUUGGCUGGGUAAAGGCCUAACAAGGCGACUAUCCGAAGCUGGUCUGAGUGGAAGGACAGCUAGACUGGAUGUGAGACACGGUCCAGACACUGACAGGGGGCAGCAGUGGGGAAUAUUGGACAAGGGGCGCAAGCCGGAUCCAGCCAUACCGCGUGGGUGAAGAAGGACUUCGGGUGGUAAAGCCAUGUUGUUGGGAAAGAAAAGCAGCAGUUUAAUACCCCGCUGUUCUGACGGUACCAAAAGAAUAAGCACCGGCUAACUUCGUG